rnacentral:rRNA from 1 species
GAUGAACGCUAGCGGCAGGCCUAACACAUGCAAGUCGAGGGGUAGUUACUUUCGGGUAAUGAGACCGGCGCACGGGUGCGUAACGCGUAUGCAAUCCACCUUUUACAGGGGAAUAGCCCAGAGAAAUUUGGAUUAAUGCCCCCAUAGUAUGUAUGAAUCGCAUGGUUUAUACAUUAAAGUUCCAACGGUAAAAGAUGAGCAUGCGUCCCAUUAGUUAGUUGGUAAGGUAACGGCUUACCAAGACGAUGAUGGGUAGGGGUCCUGAGAGGGAGAUCCCCCCACACUGGUACUGAGACACGGACCAGACUCCUACGGGAGGCAGCAGUGAGGAAUAUUGGACAAUGGGGCGCAAGCCUGAUCCAGCCAUGCCGCGUGCAGGAAGAAGCAUCUAUGGUGUGUAAACUGCUUUUGUACGGGAANAAACACUCCUACGUGUAGGAGCUUGACGGUACGUAAGAUAAGGAUCGGCUAACUCCGUGCCAGCAGCC